rnacentral:rRNA from 1 species
GUAGGGUGCAAGCGUUAAUCGGAAUUACUGGGGCGUAAAGCGUGCGCAGGCGGUUUUGUAAGGUCUGAUGUGAAAUCCCCGGGGCUCAACCUGGGAACUGCAUUGGAGACUGCAAGGCUAGAGUGUGUCAGAGGGGGGUAGAAUUCCACGUGUAGCAGUGAAAUGCGUAGAGAUGUGGAGGAAUACCGAUGGCGAAGGCAGCCCCCUGGGAUAACACUGACGCUCAUGCACGAAAGCGUGGGGAGCAAACAGGAUUAGAUACCCUGGUAGUCCACGCCCUAAACGAUGUCUACUAGUUGUCGGGACUUAAUUGUCUUGGUAACGCAGCUAACGCGUGAAGUAGACCGCCUGGGGAGUACGGUCGCAAGAUUA